AGCAGUGUGGCUUAGUGGAAAGAGCCCGGGCUUGGGAGUCUGAGGUCGUGGGUUCUAAUCCUGCCUUUUCUA
rfam:Ornithorhynchus anatinus chromosome 4, whole genome shotgun sequence.